rnacentral:rRNA from 1 species
UACGUAGGGGGCUAGCGUUGUCCGGAUUUAUUGGGCGUAAAGAGCGUGUAGGCGGCCAGAUAGGUCUGCUGUGAAAACUCGAGGCUCAACCUCGAGAUGUCGGCUGAAACCAUCUGGCUAGAGUCCGGAAGAGGAGAAUGGAAUUCCCGGUGUAGCGGUGAAAUGCGCAGAUAUCGGGAAGAACACCCGUGGCGAAGGCGGUUCUCUGGGACGGUACUGACGCUGAGACGCGAAAGCGUGGGGAGCGAACAGG